rnacentral:tRNA from 1 species
GCGCCCGUAGCUCAGUUGGAUAGAGCAGCGGCCUUCUAAGCCGAAGGUCGGAGGUUCGAAUCCUCCCGGGCGCG